rnacentral:rRNA from 1 species
UGGGGAAUAUUGGACAAUGGGCGCAAGCCUGAUCCAGCCAUGCCGCGUGAGUGAUGAAGGCCCUAGGGUUGUAAAGCUCUUUCACCGGUGAAGAUAAUGACGGUAACCGGAGAAGAAGCCCCGGCUAACUUCGUGCCAGCAGCCGCGGUAAUACGAAGGGGGCUAGCGUUGUUCGGAUUUACUGGGCGUAAAGCGCACGUAGGCGGACUUUUUAGUCAGGGGUGAAAUCCCGGGGCUCAACCCCGGAACUGCCUUUGAUACUGGAAGUCUUGAGUAUGGUAGAGGUGAGUGGAAUUCCGAGUGUAGAGGUGAAAUUCGUAGAUAUUCGGAGGAACACCAGUGGCGAAGGCGGCUCACUGGACCAUUACUGACGCUGAGGUGCGAAAGCGUGGGGAGCAAACAGG